rnacentral:rRNA from 1 species
UACGUAGGGGGCGAGCGUUGUCCGGAAUUAUUGGGCGUAAAGGGUGCGUAGGCGGGUUUUUAAGUCAGGGGUGAAAUCCUGGAGCUCAACUCCAGAACUGCCUUUGAUACUGAAGAUCUUGAGUCCGGGAGAGGUGAGUGGAACUGCGAGUGUAGAGGUGAAAUUCGUAGAUAUUCGCAAGAACACCAGUGGCGAAGGCGGCUCACUGGCCCGGUACUGACGCUGAGGUGCGAAAGCGUGGGGAGCAAACAGG